AUAAAGAAAUAUCUCUAUUUCUGGUUGGUAACACCAACCAGAACUAAAGAUAGUGCUAUCUUUAGUCCCGAUUGGUGUUAUCAACCUGGAGUAGAGAUAUAUUUUUUUUAUUUGCUUCUAGAUCAUUGUUUUUAGCUGUUUGCACUUGUUUUUAGCCGAACUCAUCCACGAUUCAUCUCCUAACAUCCUAAAUCAUCUACAAUCCCAAAUCAUACAAAAAAAACAUUAUCCACUAUCCCAAAUCAUUCACAACAACAAAAUCAUCAUCCACAAUCUCAAAUCGUCCAAACAAUAUAUAUAGUCCACAAAAAAUCAUCCACCAGUUAAAGAGGGAAAAAAAGGGAAAAAAGAAAACAUCGGCCGCCGCGCCCCUCCGUGCAGGCCACCGCGCCUCCCCGAGCGCCGCCGCCCCUCCGCGUCAGCCGCCGCGCCCCUCCGAGCGCCGCCGCGCCUCUCUGCGUCCGCUCGCUCGCCCUUUGCUGCGUGAGAGAUAGAAGGCUCGCUCGCCUCUGCCGCCUGAGAGGAUAGACGUAGAUAGAAUAGAGAGAUGAAAGGGAGAGGAUAAAAAAAGAGAGAAGGAUAAGCGAAGAGGUGGUUGCUAGAGGAUAAGUACUAGGGACUAUAUACUAUGCGCCGAUUUUUAGUCCUGGUUGGCAUUACCAACCGGGAAUAAAAAGAGUAGGGGGUGGACACUUUCUUAACGGGACUAAAAACCAACUGAGACUAAAGAUCAUAAAAUGGUUAUGGGCUUCCCAAUAGAGGCUAAAGAUGAUUUUUAGUCCUAAUUGGUGUUACCAACCGAGACUAAAUAUCAUAAAAUGGUUGUGGGCUUCUUAACCGGGGCUAAAGAUGAUUUUUAGUCCCCGGUUAUUUUUGGAACAGGACUAUUGUGGUUUUCGGUCGAUCCAGUAUGUUUUGGGUACAAGAUUUCUAAUACAUGCCAAAUUUCGUUCCAGUCUGAUCGACGUAGCAGUGCAUGCGCACAAAGGCAUCAUCAUUCACUUUCUGACUCCCAUACGCACAAAAAGUCCUCAUUAUUCAGUCGCUGGUCCCUAUAUAUAUAUGCACAUAAAGGCCUCAUUUAGCUUAUAAAAGAGGCAGCAAGAGAGCUCUGAGCUGAGAAGAGAAGAGAUGAGCGUUAGUUCACAACUUCACGUUGAAUAAUGGUAGCAGGCUUAGGAGGCGCCGGGAGCUUUCCUUCUAUAUGUGGACUCUGAGAUGGUGGAUCAAGUUACCUACGGAGCAUUGAGGGGUACAGAAGACCAGCAUGCCACUCUUGCAUAUCUUCAGUAGAAUAAACAUGCACGGGAAUUCUCUGUAGUAUAUAUAAUCAUGAGAACCAAGGAUUAGACGUAGUUGAGCUGAUGAUGGAUAAGGUGAUAUGCUCAGUAAUGAUGGACAUGACUCAUGUUGAUGAUCUGAAGCUUAAUUAGGCGCUCUCUUGUAUAUGGGCGAGAAUAAACGGUUCAUUUGUUAUGAGUACAAGAAUGCUAAUGCCAACGUGGAUAUUUAGUUCUCAAUUCCUAAUUCCAGAGUUUGUUAAACCUGGAUAUAUUUCAAAACAGAAGAAACGGACUAUCCCUGCUGUACAUCUUACCUCUUAGUCUAGGUGAUUUAUACAAAGAGAACUUUGACGGUACAAAGGUCCCUUGAUUUCGCCUGGUGAGAGGUUGGGAUAGUUAUAAGUAUUAAGGUAUUGCAUUGUGGAGUUUUUCCCUCAUCUUGUGCAGAUCUAUAUACUCUUUGAGGAAAAAAUAUCAUUUACUCAUGACGUGUGGAAAAAAAACCCUGUGAUGGAAAUGAGCUCUCGGGAAAACAGGAGGCGAUGCAGCAGUGGCUGUGUAGCAUGGCAUGGUGCUGGAGGUGACGGCGACACAAUGCUCUCCCCUGCGAGGCGGCUAUCACCUUCGGUGGCCACCUUCUCACUCGUAAGAAAUCUUCAUCCUCUCUCCUGUGCCCAUUGCCUAAGGGUUAAGGCUUCUUGAUGCAAUUAAAUCCCCAGUCGCGGGUGGCAGCGGCGGCCCAUGGCGAGCCCCAAACGGACGAGGUAGUGAGCGGAAAUGAUAAGGAGGUAGAGGCUGCAAUGUAUUGGUGGAGUGGAAGGAUUGAGCUGCAGUUCUUGGUGUUGUUUUUCUUGGUUUUCUUGUGUUCUUGGUCUGAAAUUUGAAGUUUGAAAUUCCGGUAUUUAGCAUAUACAGUAGUGUCACAGUUGCAUGUUUUCUAGAUUGUAUGAGCCUAUCGUCGUACUCCUCAAAACAAAAGUAGCAUAGUUGUGACUUGUGUGUCGGAUGGGUGCUACUGAGUAUCAGCAAUA